rnacentral:rRNA from 1 species
UACAGAGGUCCCAAGCGUUGUUCGGAAUUACUGGGCGUAAAGGGCGCGCAGGCGGCCCUUGAAGUCAGGCGUGAAAGCCCCGGGCUCAACCUGGGAGGUGCGCUUGAUACUCGAGGGCUUGAGUGCGGGAGAGGAGAGUGGAAUUCCCAGUGUAGAGGUGAAAUUCGUAGAUAUUGGGAAGAACACCGGUGGCGAAGGCGGCUCUCUGGACCGUAACUGACGCUGAGGCGCGAAAGCGUGGGGGAGCAAACAGG